CCUAGGUUAGUUUAAUGAAAACCUGAAUUUGUGGUGUUCAAAAUGGUACAAUUACCGCCUGGGU
rnacentral:tRNA from 1 species